GAUGAACGCUGGCGGCGUGCCUAAUACAUGCAAGUCGAGCGAACAGAUGAGGAGCUUGCUCCUCUGACGUUAGCGGCGGACGGGUGAGUAACACGUGGAUAACCUACCUAUAAGACUGGGAUAACUUCGGGAAACCGGAGCUAAUACCGGAUAAUAUAUUGAACCGCAUGGUUCAAUAGUGAAAGACGGUUUUGCUGUCACUUAUAGAUGGAUCCGUGCCGCAUUAGCUAGUUGGUAAGGUAACGGCUUACCAAGGCAACGAUGCGUAGCCGACCUGAGAGGGUGAUCAACAACACUGGAACUGAGACAAGGUCCAGACUACUACGGGGGGCAGCAGUAGGGAAUCUUCCGCAAUGGGCGAAAGACUGACGGAGCUACGCCGCGUGAGUGAUGAAGGUCUUCGGAUCGUAAAACUCUGUUAUUAGGAAAGAACAAAUGUGUAAGUAACUAUGCACGUCUUGACGGUACCUAAUCAGAAAGCCACGGCUAACUACGUA
rnacentral:rRNA from 1 species